rnacentral:rRNA from 1 species
AGUGAACGCUGGCGGCAUGCCUAAUACAUGCAAGUCGAACGGCCGCACGGGAAGCUUUCUUCUCUGCUGUUAGCGGCGGGCGGGCGGGUAAGGCGUAGAUCACAUUCCUCUAUGACUUGGGUGACUUCGUGAGAACAGAUCUGCUACUACCUCAUAUUAUCAACCGGAUGGUUCAGAAGUUCAUGACGGUUUUGCUGUCUCUUAUAGAUGAUUCCGCGCUGCAUUAGCUAGUUGGUAAGGUAACGGCUUACCAAGGCGACGAAGCAUAGCCGAUCUGAGAGGGUGAUCGGCCACACUGGAACUGAGACACGGUCCAGACUCCUACGGGAGGCAGCAGUAGGGAAUAUUGCGCAAUGGGCGAAAGCCUGACGGAGCAACGCCGCGUGAGUGAAGAAGGUCUUCGGAUCGUAAAACCCUGUUAUUAGGGAAGAAAAGAUGUGUAAGUAAACGUCCACAUUUUGACGGUACCUAAACAGAAAGCCCCGGCUAACUACGUG